rnacentral:rRNA from 1 species
GACGAACGCUGGCGGCGUGCUUAACACAUGCAAGUCGAACGGAAAGGCCCCUUUGGGGGUACUCGAGUGGCGAACGGGUGAGUAACACGUGAGUAACCUGCCCUUGACUUCGGGAUAACUUCAGGAAACUGGGGCUAAUACCGGAUAGGAAUCCUUGCUGCAUGGUGGGGGUUGGAAAGCUUCGGCGGUUUUGGAUGGACUCGCGGCUUAUCAGCUUGUUGGUGGGGUAGUGGCUUACCAAGGCUUUGACGGGUAGCCGGCCUGAGAGGGCGACCGGCCAUAUUGGGGAUGAGUGACGGCCAGGACCCCGGGGGGGGGAAGAAGGGGGGAGUGUUGAACAAGGGGGGGAAGCUUGAUGCGGCACCGCGGGGUGGGGGAGGAGGGCUUGGGGGUUGAAACCCGUUUCGGGCGGGGGGGAAGCUUGUGGGGAGGGUACCGGAAAAAGAAGCCCGGCCUAACUAGGUG